ensembl:snoRNA
GCCAAGAUAAGAGUAACAUGCUGACACAGCUCUUGUCCAGGUGUAUCAGAAUCCUUGGAGAACCUGCUGGUAUAGAUUCACCGGAAGGGGCAAUGAGUGGCCCCCGUUAGUGCCCAGAUCAGAAACAUGC